AAUAUAAUGAUUUGUUUAAGUUGUACAUACAGUACAUUCCCUACACGAUUAUUACAAUUUUAAUGUUAUUAUCAAUUUAACGAUAUGUUCAUUUAUGGAAACUAAUGUGUGUUUAGCGAUUCCUUCAGAAAUGCGCGCUCGCACUUUUUCAUAUCGAAGGGAAAAACCAACGGUCAACUGACUGACGUUAACAUGUUAAACGAUUAAUAAAUAGUAAUAAAUACACUUUUUGCGAUAAAUAAUUCACCUCAUGUUAUUUUGAACAGUUCAUUUUGAUGUUGGUAUUAAAUAUCACCGAGUGACGCGACCAGUUCGUGGUCUGGGGCUGGUAAAAGACCUUUGUUACUGAUAGAGAUCAUCAUCUCCUUCCCUAAAAUGACCCUCGGAGCCUUGGCCUGACCCUUGACCACCACCCGACCCUUGACCUCCACCUGACUGAGGUGCUGUUGGAAACCUGUGGAUGGGUCAAGAAAAGAAUCAGAAAAAGGCUUUACGUCACGGAAUGAGAUUUUGCUGUACUAAACCAAGGCUGCAGCUGUCGUAAAAACAUAAAAAGAGAAACCGCAAGUACCUUCAGUUCCACCCACGUCUACUUCCUGUUGGGAGCACUGGUUCGACGACUCAACAAAUGAAGAUGGCUGGGAUUUCCCCUCAGAUGACAUUGUUGAGACGGUGGCAUUAUCGGUCACAACCUCCCUGUCAGGUUGCCAUAGCGUUUCGUCAGGUCCACCUGCAGCAGGUUUCUCAGCAGGUCCUUCAGGUCAGAACUAAAGUGAGAUGGGAAUCGUACCUGUGAACAAGACCACAGUUCAAAAAUCAACGACCUGCAAAAAAACCUCACCUUUCCUGAGACGAUCUUUUCGUAGAUCUGGAUGGGUUGAUCUGCAAAAAAUGGAGGGUAACCGGCAGCCAUCUCGUACAUCAACACACCCAGAGCCCACCAGUCCACAG